rnacentral:tRNA from 1 species
GCGGGCCGGUGCGGCCGCCGCGGUGCCACGCCUGCAGCGCGUCGGCGGCGUGCGAGAUGGUGCGCACGGCGUCGUCCGGGUCGACGAGCCCGUC